GCAUAUCAUAAGCGGAGGAAAAGAAACCCAACAGGGAUUACCUCAGUAACGGCGAGUGAAGCGGUAACAGCUCAAAUUUGAAAUCUGGCCCUUUCAGGGUCCGAGUUGUAAUUUGUAGAGGAUGUUUCGGGUGUGGCUCCGGUCUAAGUUCCUUGGAACAGGACGUCAUAGAGGGUGAGAAUCCCGUAUGUGACUGGUUGCCUAUGCUCAUGUGAAACUCCUUCGACGAGUCGAGUUGUUUGGGAAUGCAGCUCAAAAUGGGUGGUAAAUUUCAUCUAAAGCUAAAUAUUGGCCAGAGACCGAUAGCGCACAAGUAGAGUGAUCGAAAGAUGAAAAGCACUUUGGAAAGAGAGUUAAACAGUACGUGAAAUUGUUGAAAGGGAAGCGCUUGCAACCAGACUUGCACUUGGUCGAUCAUCCUCUGUUCUCAGUGGUGCACUCGAUCUCGUUCAGGCCAGCAUCGGUUUUGGUGGUUAGAUAAAGGCCUUAGGAAUGUAGCUUCCCUCGGGGAGUGUUAUAGCCUAGGGUGCAAUGUAGCCUACCGGGACCGAGGACCGCGCUUCGGCUAGGAUGCUGGCGUAAUGGUUGUAAGCGACCCGUCUUGAAACACGGACCAAGGAGUCUAACAUCUAUGCGAGUGUUUGGGUGUUAAACCCAUACGCGUAAUGAAAGUGAACGUAGGUGUGAACCCUUAAGGGUGCAACAUCGACCGAUCUUGAUGUCUUCGGAUGGAUUUGAGUAAGAGCAUAGCUGUUGGGACCCGAAAGAUGGUGAACUAUGCCUGAAUAGGGUGAAGCCAGAGGAAACUCUGGUGGAGGCUCGCAGCGGUUCUGACGUGCAAAUCGAUCGUCAAAUUUGGGUAUAGGGGCGAAAGACUAAUCGAACCAUCUAGUAGCUGGUUC
rnacentral:rRNA from 1 species